ACGGCUCAGUAACACGUAGUCAACCUAACUCGUGGACGUGGAUAACCUCGGGAAACUGAGAAUAAACCACGAUAGAUCAUAGUGCCUGGAAUGGCUUAUGGUCCAAACAGUUUACUGCCAUGGGAUGGGACUGCGGCCUAUCAGCUUGUUGGUGAGGUAAUGGCCCACCAAGGCGAUUACAGGUACGGGCUCUGAGAGGAGAAGCCCGGAGAUGGGUACUGAGACACGGACCCAGGCCCUAUGGGGCGCAGCAGGCGAGAAACCUUAGCAAUGUGCGAAAGCACGACUGGGUCAGUCCGAGUGAUUUCUGAUAAAGGAGUCUUUUACCUGUCCUAAAAGCACAGGUGAAUAAGGGGUGGGCAAGUCUGGUGUCAGCCGCCGCGGUAAUACCAGCACCUCGAGUGGUCAGGACGUUUAUUGGGCCUAAAGCAUCCGUAGCCGGCUUUGCAAGUCUUCGGUUAAAUCCACCUGCUCAACAGAUGGGCUGCUGGAGAUACUACAGAGCUAGGGAGUGGGAGAGGCAGACGGUAUUCAGUGGGUAGGGGUAAAAUCCUCUGAUCCAUUGAGGACCACCAGUGGCGAAGGCGGUCUGCCAGAACACGUUCGACGGUGAGGGAUGAAAGCUGGGGGAGCAAACCGGAUUAGAUACCCGGGUAG
rnacentral:rRNA from 1 species